rnacentral:rRNA from 1 species
AACGUAGGAGACGAGCGUUAUCCGGAUUUACUGGGCGUAAAGCGUGUGCAGGCGGUUCGGCAAGUUGGAUGUGAAAUCUCCUGGCUCAACUAGGAGAGGUCGUUCAAUACUACCAAACUUGAGGGCAUCAGAGGAAGGUGGAAUUCCGGGUGUAGUGGUGAAAUGCGUAGAUAUCCGGAGGAACACCAGUGGCGAAGGCGGCCUUCUGGGAUGCUCCUGACGCUCAGACACGAAAGCUAGGGGAGCGAACGGG